CCGGAAGACCAAGGGUUCCUGUCCAACGUUAAUCGGGGCAGGGUGAGUCGACCCCUAAGGCGAGGCCGAAAGGCGUAGUCGAUGGGAAACAGGUUAAUAUUCCUGUACUUGGUGUUACUGCGAAGGGGGGACGGAGAAGGCUAUGUUGGCCGGGCGACGGUUGUCCCGGUUUAAGCGUGUAGGCUGGUUUUCCAGGCAAAUCCGGAAAAUCAAGGCUGAGGCGUGAUGACGAGGCACUACGGUGCUGAAGCAACAAAUGCCCUGCUUCCAGGAAAAGCCUCUAAGCAUCAGGUAACAUCAAAUCGUACCCCAAACCGACACAGGUGGUCAGGUAGAGAAUACCAAGGCGCUUGAGAGAACUCGGGUGAAGGAACUAGGCAAAAUGGUGCCGUAACUUCGGGAGAAGG
rnacentral:rRNA from 1 species